ensembl:lncRNA
CUUGUUAAAUAUCAGCGUGGACGUGCACAGUCCUCUUUGUUCAGUGUGUAAUGAUCCGAGUGUUGCCUCUUGUGCCCUCAGGUCCUGUUUGCUGCCUUACUGGUUCACUCUGUUCCACCUGGCUCACACCUCCGUCUGCCUCCCUCUGCUGCCCAGUGGAAGUACUGCAGGCUGUUUGUCCACUUUACCUUCUGCUUUCUGACACUAGAGGUCCAUGUUUGUCAUGUUUUAAGUUGGUCAUUAAAACAUCAGUAGAUCCACUUUUAUAGAAGAGCUUAUGGAAAUGCUUGUUUUAUUCAAACGCGCACAGACCUCUCUGGGUGGAGUUCCCAGGAGAACAGAGCACCUUCGCUGUGGACCACCAGUAUAUGAUUGGUGAUAAAUACCUUUUUUUACUGGGUGAAGUUCUCACUUUUAUGAUCUUAACUGUCUUUGAUUGUAUGUAGGUGGAGCACUGCUGGCCAGUCCUGUAACCAAGCCGCGUGUUCAAGCUGUGCGAGUCCUUCUUCCUGGAUCUGGUGAGGUUUGGUAUGACGUCCUCACUGCAAAGGCG